rnacentral:lncRNA from 1 species
CUGAACCACAUGGAGGAGAGCCCAUGAGUCCCAACACACAUCCUGCACUAGCAUGAAGCAGCCAUCUGACCCCCAAACAAGGGAGAGAGCCCAGGACAGAUCGGCAGGGCUGUCUACCUGACUGUCAGCUCACGUCAGAUAUGUGAGGGAGCCCAGCUGAGACCAGAGGAAUCACCCAGCUGAUCUGUAGACCUGUAAUCUCAUAAGCAACAUUUACUGUUUUAAGCCAUUGAGUUUGUAGUGUCUGUUACACAGCAGUAGCUAACUGACACGUUUCUGUUCUGAAGUAGUUCUUGAUGGGCGGGGGUGGUGUGACUUAGGAUGACAAGAUAUAACGUCUCAUUGUCCUUUUUUUCUUGGCAGUCAGGAGAAAAUAGGACUUCCAAAGAUCUCUGAAGAAAUGUCAGGAUAUUUGUAUGUUACUGUAACAGGAUAAAAAUGACCAAAAAUGACUGUGACAGGGAAAAGAAAUGUAACAAGAAAAAUGUGUCAGGAGGCAGCAUUCACUGACACCAAGUUCACGCACAUCUUUUUUCCCCCGCAAGCAGUGGGGAUACCUGUGUAAGCAAAUACAUUAAUACUGCUGCUGUAACAGACAUGCUCCCUGGCGCUGACGAGCUCACCCACAGGAUCCCUGCUGGGGUGGGAGGAUGUGAGUAUCCUUGCAUCUUUGUUUGCUGACAAGCAUUGAGAAGCGGCCAGACUUACUGCUGCCCAUUUUUGCUAAGACCUCUGUUGUCGUGGAAACUUCCUCAGCAAAGAUUGCAGCCGUGUAAAAAGGAAAAGAGAUGGAGAGGACUUUUUGAGUUUAUCAGGAAACUCAGUGAAAAUGUUGGCCCUCCAGCAGGCUAGAUCAGGUGUUUGUUUGUUUUGGAGACAGAGUCUCCCUCUGUUGCCCAGGCUGGAGUGCAGUGGUGUGAUCUCAGCUCACUGCAACCUUUGCCUCCUGGGUUCAAGUGAUUCUCCUGUCUCAGCCUCCUGACUAGCUGGUAUUAUAGGCAUGUGCCACCAGGCCCAGCUAAUCUUUUUUUUUUUUUUUUUUGAGAUGGAGUCUCUCUCUGUCCCCCAGGCUGGAGUGGAGUGCAGUGGCGUGAUCUCAGUUUACUGCAAGCUCCACCUCCCAGGUUCACGCCAUUCUCCUGCCUCAGCCUCCUGAGUAGCUGGGACUACAGGCGCUCACCACCAUGCUCAGCUAAUUUUUUGUAUUUUUAGUAGAAAUGUGGUUUCACCGUGUUAGCCACGAUCUCCUGACCUCAUGAUCCGCCCGCCUCGGUCUCCCAGAGUGCUGGGAUUACAGGUGUGAGCCACUGUGCCCGGCUGAAUUUUUGUAUUUUUUAGUAGAGACGGGGUUUUGCUAUGUCGGCCAGGCUGGUCUCAAACUCCUGGCCUCAAGUGAUCUGCCUGUCUUGGCCUCCCAAAGUGCUGAGAUUACAGGUGUGAGCCACUGCACCCAGCCUAGAUCAGGUUUGUUCUCAUGGCAUGAGAGCGAGAGGAAGCAUGCAAGCUCCUGUCAGGCCUGGGCUCAGAACUGGCACACAGUCACCCCUGCCACAUUCUCCUGAGCAAGUCAAGCCAGGAAGUCAGCUUACAUUCAAGUGACGGGGAAACAGACUCUCUCUUUAAUGGGAAGAGCUUCAAGGCCACAUCGCAGAGGGACUCCGACACAGGGAGACCCAAAGAAAAGGCAUCAGCUACUUAAACAUUUUUAGCAGUUCACAGAUUUCUUCACUUUCUCUCUGGAGGGUCUGCCUCUGAGGAAGCCUGGACCAAGACAGAGGAAUAUUUUCAACAAGACAUAGAGGUGCUUUUGAGAUCCUCCCCUCCCUGCCCCAAAUGAAUUGAGAACUCCUUCAGCAAACCACCAGAAAGUCCAGGUAUGCCACCCUCUCUGCACAGGGGCAGUGGAGAGCGCACGGCUUCUGAGGCAGCGGCCUGGGAUGAACCUCUAGCAAUUCCGCUCACCAGCAGUGUCACCUCAGAUAAGCUACUUAAGGUCUCUGGGCUUCAGUUUUGUCACUUGUCAAGGAGGAAGUCCUCCUCCCCCUGUGUCAUGAAGAUUCAAGGAGAGACACAUGGACUCACCCUGAACAACAUGGACACUGAGCAAAACCUCAAUUUAUGGUUUUAAAGAUGUCAAGAAGUAUUACCUUAAUAUACAUGUCACAAAAAUCCUUGUCAGACUCUGUUCUGAUUUACUUGCUAUGUAGGUCACAUAGCAAGUAAAUGCCUAAAAAGUGCAAUUUAAUGAUCCUUUCGUAAACUCCUCUUCCCC